GCGAAAGUGGCGGAACUGGUAGACGCCCUGGAUUUAGGAUCCAGUGCCUUUGGCGUGGGGGUUCAAUUCCCCCCUUUCGCACCA
rnacentral:tRNA from 1 species